AACGAACGCUGGCGGCAUGCCUAACACAUGCAAGUCGAACGAGAACUUCGGGUCGAGUGGCGCACGGUUGCGUAACGCUUAGUAACCUGCCGUUAGGUUCGGAAUAACUGGCCGAAAGGGGUGGUAAUAUCUGAUAAUGUCUUCGGUCCAAAGAGUUUUCGCCUUUGGAUGGGCCCUGGUUGGUUUAGCUAGUUGGUAGUGUAAAAGCCUAUGAAGGCGACGAUCCAUAGCUGGUUUGAGAGGCUGAGCAGCGACACUGGGACUGAGACACGGUGCAGAAUCCUACGGGAGGCAGCAGUGGGGAAUAUUGGAAAAUGGGCGAAAGGAUGAUCGAGCAAUGCCGCGUGAGUGAUGAAGGCAUUAGGGUUGUAAUGCUCUCUUACACGGGAUGAUAAUGACAGUACCGGGAGAAUAAGCACCGGCUAACUACGUG
rnacentral:rRNA from 1 species